rnacentral:misc_RNA from 1 species
AAGAGUGUAAAAACUCCCUUAAACCAUCGCGAACGUUACCUGGACGUCGUUGCUUCGGCGGGCUCGCCCGCCGGGGGGACGCUACCAAACUAUUGCAGUCAUUGGCCUCUCUGAGUAUGAUUUUUAAAUAAGUCA